rnacentral:rRNA from 1 species
UGCCAGCCGCCGCGGUAAUACGAAGGGUGCUAGCGUUGUUCGGAAUUACUGGGCGUAAAGAGCAUGUAGGCGGAUGAAUUAGUCAGAGGUGAAAGCCCCGAGCUCAACCUGGGAACUGCACCUGAUACUGCCAGUCUAGAAUACGGUAGAGGGUAGUGGAAUUUCCUGUGUAGCGGUGAAAUGCGUAGAUAUAGGAAGGAACACCAGUGGCGAAGGCGACUUCCUGGGCCAAUACUGACGCUGAGGUGCGAAAGCGUGGGGAGCAAACAGGAUUAGAUA